rfam:Stegodyphus mimosarum contig99935, whole genome shotgun sequence.
GCCUUCGUGGUGUAGUGGUCAGCACUCUCAGCGCGUAUUCGAGAGGUCCGUGGUUCGAGUCCCGGCGAGGGCA